rnacentral:rRNA from 1 species
CCUACGGGCGGCAGCAGUGGGGAAUAUUGGACAAUGGGCGAAAGCCUGAUCCAGCCAUGCCGCGUGUGUGAAGAAGGCCUUCGGGUUGUAAAGCACUUUCAGUGGGGAAGAAAGCCUUGGGGCUAAUACCCUCGAGGAAGGACAUCACCCACAGAAGAAGCACCGGCUAACUCCGUGCCAGCAGCCGCGGUAAUACGGAGGGUGCGAGCGUUAAUCGGAAUUACUGGGCGUAAAGCGCGCGUAGGCGGUCUGAUAAGCCGGUUGUGAAAGCCCCGGGCUCAACCUGGGAACGGCAUCCGGAACUGUCAGGCUAGAGUGCAGGAGAGGAAGGUGGAAUUCCCGGUGUAGCGGUGAAAUGCGUAGAGAUCGGGAGGAAUACCAGUGGCGAAGGCGGCCUUCUGGACUGACACUGACGCUGAGGUGCGAAAGCGUGGGUAGCAAACAGGAUUAGAUACCCGAGUAGUC